rnacentral:SRP_RNA from 1 species
UGCAGCCGGGGUGGUAGCGGUACCUUGAACCUGCAAUCCGCUAUAGCAGGGGUGAUAUUGCGCAGAGGGCGACAGUCUGCAGGGCUGCCCCCGGAAAGUGACGUUGACGUCUGGGUCUCACGCGACGGGACUCUGUGAACCGUGUCAGGUCGGGAACGGAGCAGCACUAAGCAGAACCUCUCGGGUGCCGUGAGGGUGCCUGGGCUGAGUUAACUACCGGGGUAACGCUUGUGGGCCAAGUUCG